rnacentral:rRNA from 1 species
UACGAAGGGGGCUAGCGUUGUUCGGAUUUACUGGGCGUAAAGCGCACGUAGGCGGGUUCUUAAGUCAGGGGUGAAAUCCCGAGGCUCAACCUCGGAACUGCCUUUGAUACUGGGAAUCUUGAGUUCGGGAGAGGUGAGUGGAAUUGCGAGUGUAGAGGUGAAAUUCGUAGAUAUUCGCAAGAACACCAGUGGCGAAGGCGGCUCACUGGCCCGAUACUGACGCUGAGGUGCGAAAGCGUGGGGAGCAAACAGG